AUGGAACUGGUCUGCUGGCACUUUUUUUUUUUUAAUUAUUUUUUAUUGUUGAUUGUUCAUCUUGCAGGAUUACAGGCUCAGAAGACCACAGGUACUUCCAUAUCAAGUGAAAUCAAAGGCCUAACUAGCCAUGAAGGAAACAGCCUGUCCUUGCAGAUAAGUGGUUGCACAGGGUGCAAAGCAGUGAUGACUCCAGCCUGCAGUGUUUCCAGAUGGGAAGAGCAGCACUGGCACUGGAGAGCCCUCCUGAGAGCUCCUGCCUGCUUUGGAGAUUCUAGGACUUCAUGGAUGUCAGCUGAGCUCCAGAGAAACAUGUGGACUUUGUGAUGCUCUUCUGAACCCAGUACAGAGCUAAGUCUGGGACCAUCUGAGAGCUACUGGGACAUCCUUCAGCUACAGCAAGUUGGGAGCAGUAAAGACAGUGCAAACACUCUCAGCCCUGGCAGACAGGGUAAGAAGAAGAGCAAUGGCCACAAAAGGCACCAUGGAAAAUUCACGUUGGACAAAAUGACAACCUUUUUCACUUGGAGGGUGAUGAAGUCCAGGCCCAGGUUUCCACAGAGAGGUUGUGGAUUUGCUGUUCCUGGGGAUCUUUAAAGGUCAAAUCCAUGGCUUAUCCCAGCAGGUGCUAGUACAAUACCUGCUUUGAAUGAGUGGUUGGAUCAGAGACCUCUGGAAGUCUCUUCUGACCAGCACUUCAAUGACUGUGAUUAUAACAGCUGUAAAACAAAAAUGUGGUGGACUAGUUUUGAAAAGUAAGAAAAGUAAUAUAACUCAGGAAGAAUAUUUGCAGCCGUGGCAAAAGAACUCCCAUGCUUAGAAUAAGCAGUCUGAAGGUUAAAUCCUCCUGAGGAAAAACUGCAAUAAAGAUAAAGGUGGUAUAAAGAAAGUUGGUGAG
rnacentral:lncRNA from 1 species